GUAACGCGUGGGAAUCUACCGUGCCCUACGGAAUAGCUCCGGGAAACUGGAAUUAAUACCGUAUACGCCCUUCGGGGGAAAGAUUUAUCGGGGUAUGAUGAGCCCGCGUUGGAUUAGCUAGUUGGUGGGGUAAAGGCCUACCAAGGCGACGAUCCAUAGCUGGUCUGAGAGGAUGAUCAGCCACAUUGGGACUGAGACACGGCCCAAACUCCUACGGGAGGCAGCAGUGGGGAAUAUUGGACAAUGGGCGCAAGCCUGAUCCAGCCAUGCCGCGUGAGUGAUGAAGGUCUUAGGAUUGUAAAGCUCUUUCACCGGAGAAGAUAAUGACGGUAUCCGGAGAAGAAGCCCCGGCUAACUUCGUGCCAGCAGCCGCGGUAAUACGAAGGGGGCUAGCGUUGUUCGGAAUUACUGGGCGUAAAGCGCACGUAGGCGGAUAUUUAAGUCAGGGGUGAAAUCCCGCAGCUCAACUGCGGAACUGCCUUUGAUACUGGGUAUCUUGAGUAUGGAAGAGGUUAGUGGAAUUGCGAGUGUAGAGGUGAAAUUCGUAGAUAUUCGCAGGAACACCAGUGGCG
rnacentral:rRNA from 1 species